GCCCUCACGUGUCCCACCAUGGCUUCACGUGUCCUACCAUGACCUCACGUGGCCCACCACAGCUUCACGUGUCCUACCAUGGCUUCACGUGUCCUAUCAUGGCUUCACAUGUUCUACCAUGGCUUCAUGUGUCCCACCACCACCUCGCGUGUCCCACCAGGGCCUCACGUGUUCUACCAUGGCUUCACAUGUCCUACCGUGGCCUCACAUGUUCUACCACGGCUUCACAUGCCCCACCACGGCUUCAUGUCUCAACACCAUGGCUUCACAUGUUCUACCAUGGCUUCACGUGUCCUACCAUGGCUUCACAUGUUCUGCCAUGGCCUCACAUGUCCCACCAUGGCUUCACGUGUCCCACCACGGCUUCAUGUGUCCCAC
rnacentral:lncRNA from 1 species